CCGGACAAUCCCCGCAUUGUCUGCGCGCCCCGUGUUUGACAGCGAGCUCUGUUAAUGUGCUGUGCCGGGCCAAAAAUGUGUCACCGCUGCCGGGGGGGAGCGCAGGGCGCCUUUGAUGUGUGAGUGGCAGGGCUGAUGUGUGUGCGGGGCUGCGGGGCAGGGGAGCCCGGCCGGCCGCGGGGCAGCGCUGCCAGCACGGAUCGCUGCAGUUCCCCCUUCUCAACACAACCUCGGCUCUGCAGCCUCUCCGAGCUCCUCCUGACGCGCCCGCCGAGGCGCGGGAUGGAUCUUGUUUGUGCUGAGCAGAGCUCGGCUCAAUUAAGUCGAUGAAGCCAAAUCAAGGGCGGUUUCUGUUCGAUGGAGCCGCGAGUUGGUCUCUCUGUAAAAGCAGUGCAGGUUGUUUCUCUCGCUGACAGAUGGCUCGAGGAAGACCCAGUGAAAGACAAGUGAGCAGGCUCCCACUGCUCUGAGCAGCUCCAAGGUGACUGCUUGGCAGCCUGGAAAAUAUCCUAUUGUCCCUCCUGGAGUCAGAGCUUGACCUUAAGAAAAUUCCUGCCAGUUUCUCCAAGGGAAUGUGUCCCCGUGCUGCACAGGAGCCUGUUUGCCACAGGAGAUGAGCAGAACACGGGGCGUGGGAGGAGCUCUCAGGAUCCCGGGGACGGCUCCAGCUUUUCCCAGCACUGCUUUUCCCAAGCUCACUCUUUUCUCCUCAGUCCUCUUCUGAAAAAAAAAAGUGCCGAGAGAAGAGUCACAAACCUCCCCUCCACUGUGAGGGACACUGAGAAGAAAAGCACAGGAGGAUGAGUGGGACAUGCUGGGCAGGAUGGCAGAAGAGCGGCCAAAGCCAAGCAAAGCCCCCAAGGCCUGGUUAAUGCGGGAUGAUGCCGUGCUCCUGCAGCUGCAGCCAGCUUAGCUGAGGGACAGCACAGAUAAGAGCAGGGCUUGAGAACCAGCUCCGAAGAGCCAUAAAAAUCCCAAGCACAGAAGAGAGAAAAUCUCCACCGGAGUCAGGCUGUGAUUAUAACUGGCUCGCUGGCCAGGGCCCUGCAGCCCGAGCUCUGGCCAGGGCCCUGCUCUCCCCCGGGAGCUCCCGGGAUCUGCCCCAGCUUUGGAGCUGGAGCUGAGGUGCCUGAGCCCCGACAGUUCCCCUCAGCAGCCGAGAUAAUUCCGUGGAUGGGAGCGAGGAGCCGAGCUCCAGCCCAGGGAGGGAUCUCAGGAGCCUCCCCGGGGAAGGAAGCGCUGGGCGCUCACUGACCCUCGGUCGUGCUCUGCUCAUCGAGACAAGGGGAUGUUCCAAACCCUCUGGAAGACACUGCAAUCAAGUUUUUACCUUUUUAUAUUGCCAUGUAUUGUUUUUUUGAAGGAUACAGGGCAUGAAACAAGAUGGGAGUGUGUCAGAGGUUCGUUCCCACCCCUCUGCAGAGGUGUUCCAAAGCACGGUGUCCCCUGCCCCUGUGUGCCCACACUGACCCCUCCCAGAGCAGGAGCAAAGGGGCCCUCCUUCCCCUCAUCCUCCUCCAAAAAUGCUCCAGUUCUGGGGCUCUCUGCCCCUCGCCAGCACCGCUGCCUUCUUCCUCAUCCCCGUGGUUAACCUUUAAUUAGGAACCUGUUCUUUGCCCACCUCGGGCUGGAUGUGAGCCUCUCCUGUUCCCCAGCUUCCCCACUGGAAACGAGCAGGGCAAACAAAAGGCGGCAGUGGGAGCCUCAAACAAGGAGCUUGGCCAGGAGGGGAAGGGGCCCUGUGACAUUUGCUGCUGUGGGGAUGCAGCAGGAGGCUGCAGGCCAAGCAGCGUGCAGGGGCUGGGAUGCAGGGGAUGAGGUAAUUUAUGACCCCUAAUGAGGUUUGCGGUUCUUUGUGCAGAGAUGGAUCUCAUCCCUCACACCACGAGGGUCCCUGUGUGCAAGGGGGUCCCUGUCCAUGGGGGCUGUGGUGAAUCCCUGGCCGGGUGCCCCUAAAUCGGGCAGAGGGUGGGGUGGGCAGUGUGGGCACCCACUGCUGCAGGGCACAGCCCCCAGGGCACAGCCCAGGGGCACCCCCAGCCCUCUCUGCAGCCCUCCCUGGCCCGAGUCUCCUCCCCAGCAGGGUUUGGAGCUGCAGGACUUUAACGCCCGCUCUUAUCAGCCACCCUGAAAAUAUUCCCAAGCAGGCUGCUCAUGCCGCACUACUUACCAUUAAAAGAAAGGACCACAUUAUUGCUGUUAUAAACCAUUGAUUAAGGUUUAUAAUAGCAAUAAUCCCCUCGAAAUUCAUUGUUACUGCAGUUAAUGACCAGUUUAUUAGAGCGUUAACCAUCCUUGGCAAUGGGCUGAGUCGUUUAAUGCUGGUAACGACCAAUUUCUCAAGGGUUAUUGCUUAAAUAACAAGCCUUUGUUAGAUAUAUGUUCCCCCACCAGAUACUGCUCCAGCUGGAACCUUCUCCUGUGAAAUAAUUGUUAAUUAUUUCCUCCAAGUUUUGCCGCCAUGUCUCAAAGUUUUAGGUGGGAAGGGUUGCUGAGGGCACAGAGUGUCAGAGAAGCUGAGAGCCGAGGCUGGGUGACGUGAGGGGAAGCAGCCAGAGACACCAGAGCCAUCACUGAGGGCUGUGGGAGCUGUGCUUGGUGAGGGUUUUCCCUCUUCUGUCCCCUGGGAGUGUCCCAGCCCCGGCACAGCCUCCCCCAGAGCUGCAGAGGCUCCAGCUGGGAGCAGGGAAUGUCCAAGGAUGAGCUCUGGGCUCCCUGGCACUGCCAGGAGCCACCCAGGAAGGGUGAGAGACACCAGAGCCCUCCCUCCCUGCCUCCCUGCCCUCGUACAUUAAUUUGAUCUGAGCGUCUCACGGCGUUAACGAUGUCCUAUCGUGUCACGUUAGUCCCAUCCCUCUAACAGCGUUCCCGGGCCUGACACCAGAUGAAAGGUACAGACACGAUUACCCUUUAAUUGUGUCAUAUUAGCAGAAAUAAAUACUGAUCCAGCAGCAGGCUGACACGGAACGACGGCAAAUCCCCGGCAGUGGGACUGGGCUGGCGGCUCCGGCUCCAGGAAAUCGUGAGAGGGGGAUCCCAGCCCGGGCUGCCAGCACUGCCCCCUGCUGCCAGGUGUGCAGGGAGCCCCUGGCACAGCCCCUGGCACAGCCCCUGGCACAGCCCCUGGCACAGCCCCCAGCUCCUGGAGGCAUCCAUGGGGUAGCACCAGGCUGCACUGCCCUGACCCACUCACUGCCAGCUCCUCACCCCCAGCCCUGGCUCUAACAGGCUUUGGGAUUCUGCUGUACAAAGGAGCAACCCCCAUAGUUCCCCCAGAAAAAUUACAUUUCCAUAGCAAAUUGAAUUUCAGGCUUUCCUCUCUCUUGUUAAGAAGCACAAAGAAAAUCUUGAUUUGAGGAAUUAGUUGAAGCCUGAGCGGUGUUAGGGUUGGUUUUGGUGCUCGCCUCCCUCCUUUUACUCUGUUCCCACGUUUGUGGGCUCUUUGAGGUGUCAUUGGGAACAAAAAUCAGGAAAAGGGAAGGAGGGAUUACUCCAAAAUCUGUGUGAGCUGUAAGUGGUUUUGGCAGUGAGAUGCUGAUCCUCUCCCACCAUGCUUCAGGCUCUCCAGCCCCUCAGGAGGCAGGAACCUCCCAAACAGAAAUUACAAAUACAAAACCAGAACAUUUUCCCCCUCUGUGGGACGGAGUCAGGAUUUCCUCUCUGGCCCAUCAGGCAGAGCUCCCCUGGUGCAGGCAGCUCCGGGAUGGGCUCUGGUGGGGCAGCAGGGCUGGCUCUGCCCCGUGGCUGGGCCUGUCUGUGCUCCCUGUCACCACUGCUGCGGGGAUUUGUGCGAGCAUCCGUGUUAUUUUAGAGAUAAUGUGAGCAGAGUGGAGCAUGUCACAGGAUAAUGGUCUCCUGCUGCUAGGCUGUUCUUGGCAUUUAUCAAAAAAUGACACCAGAGGGAAUAUGCUCAAGGGAGCCGAGGUGUCGAUUCGAUGACUGCUGUUUCGUGAUAAAAGUUAACAGAAAUAAAAAUGAAUUAGUCACAAAACAGCUUAUUUAUAGCAGUGCCUGGCCCAGGAGGGGAUCCCUGGGAAAGGCAGGGCAGCGGUGCUCACAUUGCUGGGAGGAACAGGCUGCACCCCAAAAGUGCCCCAGACCAAACCAAACGGGGCAGCAUCCCCUGGGUUUAACUCCUGCUUUGUGCCUCAGCAAAUACCCCCAGACCCUUCUGCACCGUGUUCCAAAACAAAACACGGGCGUGUUUGGCCUCAAACCAAAUAUUUUGAGCAAAAUAUUUCAAUGUUGCCUGUGUUUAUAUGUGGCUGUGGGGGUGGGAGCUGGAUGGAGCCAGGCCCUGCACUGGGCUCUGGAGAGAACUGGGAUCGUGUGCGGGGCUCUGGAUGGAGCUGGGACCCUGCACUGGGCUCUGGACAGAACUGGGAUCGUGUGUGGGGCUCUGGAUGGAGCUGGGACCCUGCACUGGGCUCU